rnacentral:rRNA from 1 species
GAUGAACGCUGACAGAAUGCUUAACACAUGCAAGUCAACUUGAACUUCGGUUUGGGUGGCGGACGGUGAGUAACGCGUAAAGAACUUGCCUCACAGAUAGGGACAACAUUUGGAAACGAAUGCUAAUACCUGAUAUUAUGAUUAUAUGGCAUCGUAUAAUUAUGAAAGCUAUAUGCGCUGUGAGAGAGCUUUGCGUCCCAUUAGCUAGUUGGAGAGGUAACGGCUCACCAAGGCGAUGAUGGGUAGCCGGCCUGAGAGGGUGAUCGGCCACAAGGGGACUGAGACACGGCCCUUACUCCUACGGGAGGCAGCAGUGGGGAAUAUUGGACAAUGGACCAAGAGUCUGAUCCAGCAAUUCUGUGUGCACGAUGAAGUUUUUCGGAAUGUAAAGUGCUUUCAGUUGGGAAGAAAAAGAUGACGGUACCAACAGAAGAAGUGACGGCUAAAUACGUG